ACACGUAGGGGGCGAGCGUUGUUCGGAAUUACUGGGCGUAAAGGGCAUGUAGGCGGCUUGGUAAGCCUGGCGUGAAAUACCGCAGCUUAACUGCGGGAAUGCGUUGGGAACUGCUGAGCUUGAGUUAUGGAGAGGGAGCUGGAAUUCCUGGUGUAGGGGUGAAAUCUGUAGAUAUCAGGAAGAACACCGAUGGCGAAGGCAAGCUCCUGGCCGAUAACUGACGCUGAGGUGCGAAAGUGUGGGGAUC
rnacentral:rRNA from 1 species